CUACGGGGGGCUGCAGUGAGGAAUAUUGCACAAUGGGGGGAACCCUGAUGCAGCAACGCCGCGUGGAGGAUGACGCAUUUCGGUGUGUAAACUCCUUUUAUAUGUCAAGAAAAUGACGGUAGCAUAUGAAUAAGCACCGGCUAACUCCGUGCCAGCAGCCGCGGUAAUACGGGGGGUGCAAGCGUUACUCGGAAUCACUGGGCGUAAAGGACGCGUAGGCGGGUUGGAAAGUCAGGUGUGAAAUCCUACAGCUUAACUGUAGAACUGCACUUGAAACUUCUAAUCUAGAGUAUGGGAGGGGGAGAUGGAAUUAGUGGUGUAGGGGUAAAAUCCGUAGAUAUCACUAGGAAUACCUAAGCGAAGGCGAUCUCCUGGAACAUUACUGACGCUAAGGCGUGAAAGCGUGGGGAGCAAACAGGAUAGAUACCCUUGUAGUC
rnacentral:rRNA from 1 species